rnacentral:tRNA from 1 species
GUGGUGGCUCAGUGGUAGAGUGCACGCCUAGCAUGCGCAAGACACGGGGUUUGAACCUCAGCACCACA